AAACAGUUCUUGGUUCUCUCACUAAAGGUUCUACCAUUUUCUGUUUUCUUACUUGCUGAUUUCCAAAUGUUAUUUUACUAAUUUCUUCCUGUUACUUUCUUAGUUUUUCAUUUUCUAACUUCCUGAGUGAGAUACUUUCUUUUUUUAUUAGUUAAUCUAAAAAGCACUGAAUUUUCAUCUUUGCAUUGCUGUAACUGAUUCCCAUAGUUUAUGACAAAUAUGGCUUUUCAUUUAGCAUUACUUCCUAGACAUUCACAAUUUAUCUUUUAUUUCCUCCUUCAACCAAGACAGUGUUUUGCAGUUUUUGGGUGGUGGAGUCUCUUCUCUGGUUUCAUUGCACCGCAGUUAAAGAAUUCUACUGUAUCUAUUUAUAGAUUGGGGGAAAGGAGCAGAAGCAGAGCAAAUUGCUUUAUAGUAGCCUCCCUCCCACCCAAUUUACAUUCCACUUUCUCAGCCAUGGACCAGAAAUACUAAAGGAAGAAUUCCAGAAAUAAACAAUUCUAGAGUCUUACAUUGCGCACCAUUCUGACGAGUGUGAUAAACCUUUGUGACUUCCUGCUCUGUCCCCAGCCACAUCAUGAAUCACCCCUUUGUCCAGGGCAGAUACACAGUAUGGGUUACCUGCCCAUUAGUCACUUAGUAGUCUUAUUGGUUAUCAGAGUGACUUUUGCAGUAUUCUUUAUGCUCAGGUAACCCUUAUCUUACUGACAGUGGCCCAAAAGUACAAGAGUAGAUGCUGGCUUUCAGAUACACCACAGAGAAGCCAUGAAGUGCGCCCUCUAAGGGAAAAGGUCAAAGUUCUUGAUGUGAAAAAGGAAGAAAAUAUAUGCUCAGGUUGCUUAGACUUCCACCAACCUGUCCUGCGUGUAACAGAGAGGAGCGGACCUCUCACGCAUCCUGACUCACCGUGGAGCUUAUCUUAAGGUGUAAAACCUGCAGAUGCAAGAAACCACGAAUGGAAGUGUUAGUUACCAGAUCCACUGCUGUAUCCCUCAGCAUCCACUUGUACUGUGUUUCCCUUUGUACUGCGCCCUCCUGCCCCCCUCUACUGAGUUUCAGCAGACAACAGGUCUGCCUAACCUCUGAUUGGGAUGGGGUGUACCUGUAUGGCUAAGCUUUUCUCCAUGCCAGUAAAGGAAAGUGAUAUGUGCCUGUCAUCCAUCUUGUUGGUUAUAGAUUGCAAAACAGAAAGCAAACAACCCCAAGUCCCCCAAGAACAACAAAAAUCUGCCAUGAAUUCCUUCUCUCUCUGAAUACAUGCCCCUUUGCAAUGUGGCUUUGCCACUCAGGUCAGUCUAUUGAGUCUAGGCUUAGCUACAUAACUUGGUUUAGCUCAUGGGAUAUUAGCUACUGUGGUACUGCUUUGGGAACUUCGGGCUGGCGUGCUGGAUCCCAGAGACAGUGACACAGCUUCCCCUACCGCUCAUUCAAGCACCAGACAUUGAGAGAGUCCAUCUGCAACCAAUCGGGCACCCAGCCCACCUGCAACUGACUACAGGUAAAUGAUCGAGACCAGGGCAGGUCGGUGGAAGGACCCGUUGACCCUGCCCAGAUUGCCCAACACAGAAUUCUGAACUAGCACAUGACUUAUUUAAAACAACAAGGUCUGGGUGGAUGUUGUGCAGCAAAAUGAUUGGGUACUCGUCCCUUUUCUCCUUUCCAUUUCCUGCAGUCUGGAGUUUAGUUAAGGUGCUAGGAAACUGGCUUCAGCCAUUCAGCUGAGGGAGAUACUGUAAGAAAUGGGAAGGCAACACCAUUAGGAGGAACCUCACUCCUGGGAAACCUCAAGAAGCAAAAUAUCCUACGAGUCCCAGACAGCCCAGGGCUAUUCCCUGAGAGAGAAACUAAG